AGUUAAGUAGCUUAUUGAAAAGCAAGUGUUUUGAAAGCACAAGACAGAAGUUUAAAUCUUCUAUUAACUU
rnacentral:tRNA from 1 species